CAGCAGCCGCGGUAAUGCGUAGGGUGCAAGCGUUAAUCGGAAUUACUGGGCGUAAAGCGUGCGCAGGCGGUUAUAUAAGACAGAUGUGAAAUCCCCGGGCUCAACCUGGGAACUGCAUUUGUGACUGUAUAGCUAGAGUACGGCAGAGGGGGAUGGAAUUCCGCGUGUAGCAGUGAAAUGCGUAGAUAUGCGGAGGAACACCGAUGGCGAAGGCAAUCCCCUGGGCCUGUACUGACGCUCAUGCACGAAAGCGUGGGGAGCAAACAGGAUUAGAUACCCCAGUAGUCCCUGUCUCUUAUAC
rnacentral:rRNA from 1 species